rnacentral:rRNA from 1 species
AGAGUUUGAUCAUGGCUCAGGAUGAACGCUAGCUACAGGCUUAACACAUGCAAGUCGAGGGGAACGACAUCGAAAGCUUGCUUUUGAUGGGCGUCGACCGGCGCACGGGUGAGUAACGCGUAUCCAACCUGCCCAUCACUUGGGGAUAACCUUGCGAAAGUAAGACUAAUACCCAAUGAUAUCUCUAGAAGGCAUCUGAAAGAGAUUAAAGAUUUAUCGGUGAUGGAUGGGGAUGCGUCUGAUUAGCUUGUUGGCGGGUAACGGCCACCAAAGCACGAUCAGUAGGGGUCUGAGAGGAAGGUCCCCACAUUGGAACUGAGACACGGUCCAAACUCCUACGGGAGGCA